rnacentral:lncRNA from 1 species
AAAUGAAUAUCAUAAUAACUUAAGUAAUUGAAAAGAUAAGUGGACUAGUAUAGAUAGUAUUGUAAUAGGCCCAUUUCGCCCGGGCCCAUAACAAAAAACCAAAAAAACAAAAUAAAUAAAUAAAACCAAAUGUUAAUAAUCUAAGUCCCUUUUGUUACAACAGAGCCCAAACCAAAAUAAACCCAGCAUCCGACCCAAAUAUUAAACUCAGAUUAACCCAAUUAACUCAAAUAGCCCAGCACCCAAUGGCCCAAAACUAAACCAAAUUUUCGGCAGAAACCCUAAGGUUCCCUUGCGCUGCAACUGGUUUCCAACACCUUCCAGCACUGCUUUGCCUCCGGCCAGUCCCACGUGCGCCAUCAGCCAGCUGGCUCCAUACUUGCAACAAAUGGAAAUCACAACAGCAAAUGACAGAUAAUAUAACGGAAUAACAACAAACAAAUGAAGGGGGAAAAGGAGAAAUUUGUAAAUAUUUAUAUUUGAUUUUGGCUAUAUAAAGCCAAUUGUAUACUGUAAAGAAGGGGAGAAGGAAAUCUGUUUUUUUUUCAGAGAAAUAUUUUACGCAUACUAAAUACAAUCAAAGAUUAGAAGGUGAUUUUCGAUCUAUUUUCGGCAUUUCGAUUUCUUUUUUCCCUUGUUCUCGCCUACAUUUUUCGCAUAAAAAAAUAAGGAGAAAUGAGAGAGGAUUACCUUCGUGGGUGUACCGUCCGGGUCCUUGUCUCCUCCGUUGAAAUCGGAGUUUUAGAUAAAGAUUUUCAGGUGAAAAUAGGCUUUGAAUCUUAGCUUUAUUGGAUAUAAAAAGGGCUUUCUCAUCAUUCACCGAUUUUAAUAGUGAAAAUGGUGGUUAAAUGGUGGAUGAGGGAAGAGUUUUUUGGUUUGGCUGAAUGGGGAAGGAAGGAAGCUUUAGGGCACGUUUGGUUCGCUGUAUUGGAUUAGAGGUGUAUUGGAUUAGAGGUGUAAUGGAUUAGAGGUGUAUUGGAUUAGAGAUGUAAUGGAUUAGAGGUGUAUUGGAAUAGAGGUGUAAUAGCAAAUCAACUGUUUGGUUGAAUGUAAUGGAAUAGAGGCGUAAUAGUAAUCUUGUGUUUGGU